rnacentral:tRNA from 1 species
GCAUCGGUCGUUCAGUGGUAAAAUGUUCGUUUGCGAGGCGGUCGGUCCGAGUUCGAUUCACGUCCGAUGCA